GACGAACGCUGGCGGCGUGCUUAACACAUGCAAGUCGAACGGAAAGGCCCUGCUUUUGUGGGGUGCUCGAGUGGCGAACGGGUGAGUAACACGUGAGUAACCUGCCCUUGACUUUGGGAUAACUUCAGGAAACUGGGGCUAAUACCGGAUAGGAGCUCCUGCUGCAUGGUGGGGGUUGGAAAGUUUGGGCGGUUGGGGAUGGACUCGCGGCUUUUCAGUGUGUUGGUGGGGUAGUUGCUUACCAAUGCCUUGCCGGGUAGCCGGCCUGGGUGGGUGACCGGGAGCAGUGGGACUGAGAUACGGCCCAGACUCCUACGGGAGGCAGAAGUGGGGAAUAUUGCACAAGGGGCGGAAGCCUGAUGCAGCAACGCCGCGUGCGGGAUGACGGCCUUCGGGUUGUAAACCGCUUUCGCCUGUGACGAAGCGUGAGUGACGGUAAUGGGUAAAGAAGCACCGGCUAACUACGUGCCAGCCGCCGCCGUAA
rnacentral:rRNA from 1 species